UACGUAGGUGGCAAGCGUUUGUCCGGAUUUACUGGGCGUAAAGAGCGCGCAGGCGGCCAAGUCAGUCGAAUGUGAAAGCCCCCCGGCUUAACUGGGGGAGGGUCAUUCGAUACUGCUUGGCUCGAAGACAGGAGAGGGAAGCGGAAUUCCCGGUGUAGUGGUGAAAUGCGUAGAUAUCGGGAGGAACACCAGUGGCGAAGGCGCUUUCUGGCCUGUUCUUGACGCUGAGGCGCGAAAGCUAGGGGAGCAAACAGG
rnacentral:rRNA from 1 species